AGUGAACGCUGGCGGUAGGCCUAACACAUGCAAGUCGAACGGCAGCACAGGAGAGCUUGCUCUCUGGGUGGCGAGUGGCGGACGGGUGAGGAAUACAUCGGAAUCUACUCUGUCGUGGGGGAUAACGUAGGGAAACUUACGCUAAUACCGCAUACGACCUACGGGUGAAAGCAGGGGACCUUCGGGCCUUGCGCGAUUGAAUGAGCCGAUGUCGGAUUAGCUAGUUGGCGGGGUAAAGGCCCACCAAGGCGACGAUCCGUAGCUGGUCUGAGAGGCAGAGUGGGCACACUGGAUCUGAGACACGGUCCAGACUCCUACGGGAGGCAGCAUUGGUGAAUAUUGGACAAUGGGCGCAAGCCUGAUCCAGCCAGACCGCGUGGGUGAAGAAGGCCUUCGGGUUGUAAAGCUCUUUUGUUGGGAAAGAAAUCCAGCUGGCUAAUACCCGGUUGGGAUGACGGUACCCAAAGAAUAAGCACCGGCUAACUUCGUGCCAGCCGCCGCAGUAA
rnacentral:rRNA from 1 species